rnacentral:lncRNA from 1 species
AUGAGAAAAAGAAACAGAGGCAACUUUGGCAAAAGCUUGUCUCACAAGUACAACUUGUUGUAUGUUGGUGAUAACGUAGGAAACCUCCACGUAUUUGACUCUAAAGAUGGAUCCUUCUCACAUAUUCAGACAGCGCAUAUAGAAAACGUGAAUGUCAUAGAUACGGAUGUUGACCAAACACCACCAGGUCAUGCAACCAAUCAAGUCUCAUCUAUUUGGCAUGGCCCUGGCUGUGUAAUUGUAGGAAGUACCAAUAAAUAUGUUCGUGUUCUUACUGCAACUUUGCCUCCAAUGUUAAUCGCGCAUUUGCCAUAUUCGGGAGAAGUUACAUCUGUUGAUUACAACAACUGCACCCUAGCAGUUGGCACCACUGACAAUACAGUGGAAGUGUGGAAGCCCAAAAAUCCUGAAAGCUAA